UUUUUCUCCUUCGAUUGAGUGAAGCCUCUGGUGCGUCUUUGCAACCGCAGCAAUCCGAAACGGACGGAAUAAAAAUGCGACGGAGAAUUUUGCAGCAAUCUGAAAAGAGUGAGCCACCGCGAAAACACACACCCACAAUAUUCUGCGGAACAACCGAUAACAGCCUAGACCAUGUGUUCCCAACAGGAGUUAUUUGGCUCAAAGCAGCAGCACCAACAGCAGCAAAAGCUGUCGUGCCGUGAAAAAUUUCUCCAUUAAAACUGCCAAAAGAGUAACUGCAUCGACGUCGGAUGGGAAGAAAACCGCGAUCUCUGCCUCCUUACACAAAUAAUCAUCAAUCGCAACAACAGCAGCAGCAAGAGGGAAGAUAAGGAAUCCACCACCGAAUAACCACAAUAUAGUGCGUGAAUGCUAGUUACGGAACAGGCAAACAACAAAGCGUGACUUUUUUCAUUCAACAUAUGCAACUAUUGCAACCCUAUAUGACUGGGAGCCCUCCCGGGAAUACGAGGUGUCAUCAUCGACAAGCGACAAUAUUCCAUUGCCAUCAACUCGGAGCUAGAAACCGUCUAUCGCAAAACAAAUUUCAUUUCACUGAAUGAAAACCGCAUCGUUUCUUGAUUGAUUAUUCGAAAAUAGUACCAGCCGGGUGGUUCAGUGUCGAUAGUAUAGUUUAAAUUCCGUGGUGCUGCCCAUACUACAGCCUCAAGAUGCCGAUGACCACAGCGAAUGAUAUCGCGAUGCAACAAUUUCAUCUAUCGCUGUCUAAGCACGCCCUCAACACUACCGAUAAAGUGCCAAUGGAUCAGCAAUCCCUUUAAAGUAAAUGUCGGAGCACUGCUUCAUCAACAUAAAAUGAUGCCACAUUGCAGCUCAUUCAUCGUAUGGAAAUUUUUAGCUACCCUUAACAUGUGUGCCGUCGUCAUGAGGAACCGUCCGAACCAUUUAGAACCGGAAUUUUAACACCACCACCGGUAAACUAAAGUACUUUUUCAAACGAAACACCAAAACCAUGUUGUCCAGUGGCAUGUUGCGUAUCAUUAAGCGCCACUCCAUAAGCCUCCGAAUCAUGAUUAUCAACGCACUUUAGUCUUUUGUAAGUGCAAUUGUACAUCCUUUGAAGAUCGACAGCCAUUGCACGAGCUCAUUUACCCAAUUGAGUUCAUUUUAUGUAUUACCAGACAAAGGCCGGAGUGGCCUGUGCAGUGCAUAGAAAGUCUUCUGCAUUCUGAACGGUCCAUGGCUGCACGUCGCCAACCACGCAGUGAACAUAUACUGAAUACUGCAGUAGAAAAAUGAUAAUAAAAUCUUGAAAAUUAUGACGUCUUCCUCUCAUAAAGCAUUCAAAUAAACAUAACAAAA